rnacentral:rRNA from 1 species
AGGACGAACGCUGGCGGCGUGCUUAACACAUGCAAGUCGAGCGGAAAGGCCCUUCGGGGUACUCGAGCGGCGAACGGGUGAGUAACACGUGAGCAAUCUGCCCUUAGCUUCGGGAUAGCUCCGGGAAACCGGAAUUAAUACCGAAUACGACCACGGCCGACAUCUGCUGUGGUGGAAAGGAUUCCGGCUAAGGAUGGGCUCGCGGCCUAUCAGCUAGUUGGUGGAGUAACGGCCCACAAGGCGACGACGGGUA